AGUGGGGAAUAUUGGACAAUGGGCGCAAGCCUGAUCCAGCAAUACCGCGUGUGUGAAGAAGGCCUGAGGGUUGUAAAGCACUUUCAAUUGGGAGGAAUACCUAGCCGUUAAUAUCGGCUAGAUUGACAUUACCUUUAGAAGAAGCACCGGCUAACUCCGUGCCAGCAGCCGCGGUAAUACGGAGGGUGCAAGCGUUAAUCGGAAUUACUGGGCGUAAAGCGUGCGUAGGCGGCCUUUUAAGUUAGAUGUGAAAGCCCCGGGCUCAACCCGGGAACGGCAUUUAAAACUGGAGGGCUAGAGUUUGGGAGAGGGAAGUGGAAUUUCAGGUGUAGCGGUGAAAUGCGUAGAGAUCUGAAGGAACACCAGUGGCGAAGGCGGCUUCCUGGACCAGAACUGACGCUGAGGCACGAAAGCAUGGGUAGCAAACAGGAUUAGAUACCCUGGUAGUCCAUGCCGUAAACGAUGUCAACUAACUGUUGGGUUCUUUUUGAACUUAGUGGUGGAGCUAACGUAUUAAG
rnacentral:rRNA from 1 species